UGUUGAAGAAGCUAUGUUGACACUGAUUGAGCCUGUUGCUAUUACUGGCUUACCAGGGGGUUUAUGAAAAUGAGACUGAAGUAGAUGAUGUUACAGAACCAACUCCUGGGCCAUCUGGGAUAGCAUCUCAGAUCAUAACAACUCAGCAGUUAUUGUAACAUUGGAUGAGGGAACUUCAGCAGAGCAAGAAAUGACAAUACCCAUUGUGUCAAUGGACCACACUCCUCAGAAUUAGCUCCUUUUUUAAUAGAACACAGUAACACUCAGGAUGGAUUUAGUGCAACAGUCCAACAAGCAGAGCACUUUCAAGAAGAGAGCACCUCAGCUUGAGCAGGAGGAGGUAGUAGGCUUGAGGUAGUGCAUGGUCAAAAAAGCAGAUCAGAAGAAAGGAGAAUUUUGCCUGACAUGCUUCAGGUACAAACAAAUAUAGAAAGUCACUUGAAACAGCUUGUAAGCUCAGUGAAAGACGCUGCAUCGGCAUUACAAACAAUUGCUGAUGCUAUGAAAGAUAAGGCGUACGUUCCUAUUUUUGUCAAAUGUUAUAAUAUUUUAGUUUUUCUUAAUCUAGUACACAGUUGACAUUAAUUUUGUGAUGGGCAUUUGUAUAUUUAACAAAGUCAUAAUAUGAAGUUGUGGCUUGAGAGACUGUUAUUAUACAAAAUAAGUCUUUAUUUUGGAGUUACUUUAUUAUUUUUUUUAUUGUAGAUUAAGACAAAAAUCCAUUAAAUAUUAUUUAUUUUUGUUCAUGUUAAUGUUUGCAUUGAGGUUGUGAGAAGUGUUUUUUUGUUUUAUGUUGUAGGUUAAGACCAUUUUUUUGAGUCAGGAUUUUAUUUAUUUAUUUAUU
rnacentral:lncRNA from 1 species